UAGGUAUUGAGGUUUAAGUCUAUUGUAGGAAUUACUAGGAUUUAUUUAGGAUUAGGUUAGAGUUUGGUUUAGGGUUUGAUUUAGGGUUUAGGAUUUGGUUUAGGAUUUGGAAUUUAGAAUUUAUUUAGGAUUUAGAAUUUGGAUUAAGGCUUGAUUUAAGUUUUAGAAUUUUAUUUAGGGUUUGAUUUAGAGUUUAGGAUUUGGAUUAGGAUUUGGUUAGGGUUUGAUUUAGGAUUUAGGAUUUGGUUAGGAUUUGGUUUAAGAUUUUGUUGCAGUUUGGUUUAAGGUUUGUUUAGAGUUUGAUUUAGGAUUUAGGAUUUUAUUAAGAUUUAAGAUUUAAUUAGUUUUGGCCUAAAGUUUGAAUGAAGUUCAAUAGGAUUUUAACUAGAAUUAAAUUAAGAUUGAAUUGAGAUGUAUUUGAGUGAUAUUUGUGAUCCUUCUAAUAUUUCUUUAAGAAUUCUUAUUAUUUGUUUGAAAUUUCUUUGAGGUUUUUUUUGAAUUUGAUUAAGCUUGCUUAGCAUUAUUAUGAUCUAAUUAGAGUAUUGUUAGUAUUUUAUUAGAAUUAAGAUUUUGUUAUUGCAAUUUCCAUUCUUCCUUCCACAGUCAUGUACCUAGAGCAUUCUCAAGCAAGAUUUCAGGUAUUACGACAUCGGAGUCAAUAAAAAUCCAUCCAGUAUUCCACGUGUUUCUUCUUGAACCAUACAAGACAAUGGACAUACCAAGAAGACGACAAGCUCCACCUCCUCCUAUAGAAGUGGACAAUAAUAAAGAGUUUGAAGUAGAAG
rnacentral:lncRNA from 1 species